UGAACAAACAAAGGGAUGAACUCCUUGUUUGCAUACUGAUUUUUUUCCCUCUCCAGCUUGUGUUCUUUUGCGUAAUCAUUCAUGUAGCACUAAAGAAACCAAGUUCAAAUGCUGUCAAAAAAACUCAAAAUGCAGAAAUAUUGACAGCCUAGCUGCUAUCUAUAUGCUUAAACUCUUGCUGAUUGCCCUCACGCAUAGAUUGACAUCUGCCAGCCCCUCUAGUGUCUGAGCACAGUGGCAGGAGGUGGUGUGGCUGAAAAGGGGCAUCACUCCAGGUUCUCCCUUGUCAUUUCACCUCCAUUUCUGGAAUGAAAUUAUGUAAUUGUACCCAAGUCACACAUGCAGGUUUUGAGGAAUACACUCAACUCACCCUCAUCUGACAUUUUAACCAGACAAACCAUACUAUCUACAGCAUUUGCAUGGUCAUGGGUUCUCCCCAGACCACAAGUCCCUGCAGUUACCUGCAGUGUCCUUUCUGAUGUUUCUAGAAACUAGUUGAAGGUGUGAAGAUCCAUGAAAGGUAAAGGAUUUUCAUGCAUCACCCUGAACAGAGCUUAACAGAAUGAUUGGUUUAAUUAAUAUUGAGUAUUUAAUACAAUGUAAAAUCUUAAAUUUACUAUUAUGCUUCCCACUCCUCCUCCCCACAGAAAUCAAAAACCCUACAAAUAGGAUGAGAACUGUAUGUGUUUUCUGGCAAAGAAGUAGAGCAGAACAGUUAUUCAGUCACCUGAGACCAAAGAGCUGAUACCAGGACUCCAGUGUCAAAUCUUGUCUGUACAUCAUACGUAGUGUCUGUAAAGCACUAACCAUCUACUGUAAACACUGUACUCAUGCUCCUACAGCCCCUUGGGUCUAAUGAGCCUCCCCCACUGUUCCCCCACUUUCCACUCAUUCCCCAACUGCAUGGCAUGGCAUUAGGCCGUAUAUUUCCUUUUUAUGUGACUUUACGUAGGGAGAUACUGCCUCUCUCUCGGAGCACAUUGGAACAUGGAAGGAAGAUGACUAAGGCAAGUCAGGGAAGCUUGGAGGAAACAUCGGUGUACAAGGGGAUGUGAAAGGGGCUACGCCUUCAGCAGACACUCGGGCUUGCUGGAUGGAUGAUGUCUUCCUAAAACUAGGUUAUGGGCUAUGAAAAGCAUUUUCUUUCCUGCACCAACUCAUUGGCAUAGAACUUGGGUCCACAUUGGUUCAAUCAGUUCUUGAGUGCUCGUAUCUGCCCUUUCAUGUGUACAAAAAUAGCCGGCUAUACUGUGAACAGCAGACUUUGUUUUCUACUGAGCAGUCAAAAUGGGAUUUAAAGGAUGGGCAGAUUUUAUCUUUAGCCCAAUUAGCUGAGGAUGAGCAGAUUCUACAGCAGCAAGGAAAGAAACAUUUCCCACCUAAAUUUAGAUAUUAAAAAGAUAAGGUGCCUCGUGUUCCUCUACUGGCAGCGCUGAGGAUGAACAACUGCUGUGAAGCCUAAUGCGCUGGAAAAGCAGGGCUUUGCUCGCAGCAUGGCUCCCACAUCUGGACACGGAUUUUUUUUAUUAUUUGUCUAAUUACUUGCAUAAGCCCUGAAGUAUUUCAAAAUGAUGUUGGGAUAAAGCCAGAACUGCUUGAAGGGAUCCAUGAGUUUCACUGGAAAGAGAUUUGACUGCCAAAGGUCUUGUAUCACCACCGAUGACAGAAAGACAGGAAUUAUUUGAGUAUAAAAGACCCAUCCUGAGACAGUUCACAUUCACAAGAUGCACCUGAAAGACUCUGUUUCCUUCCCAGCGGGGUAUGAAAGCAGAUGCUGAGGCCUCUGGUCUUGUUAUGAAAUGGCACCAAGCAAAACACCACUGUAUGAACCGAACUUUCAAAAUCCAGGCCUUCCUCUCAAUAUCUUCUGGAGGCUGUGGCUUUGCUGGACCUGCCUACUGGCAUGUAUGGGCUGCCUCCUGGGAUCCCAGCCUGUGUUAAUACGCAGCCUUUAAUCUGGGACCUGCAUUUACUGUUUAAUUCACCUGCUUCUGUUUUCCUCCAGGUUGGGUCUGUGACUAAAAAGACAACGUCUUAUCCCCAAAACAGCCCCUUCAACUGUAUUCACAGCCUACAAGGGUGUAAUGGAUCUGGCUUCUUCACAGCAGCCUGAGGAGGCUGGGAGUGCUUGGGAGAAACAAGAUGUGCAAAAGGCGUGUGCUGCAGCAGCACCCCCCGUCCUGCUGCCGUGGAGGGCAGCCCCUGGGCAGACAAAUGCAAGAGGGUCUAGAACUGAUGAAGCCUGGAAAUCUGCCGGCACUCCUGGAGAAUGUCCUGAACCGUUUGCUUUUUGGCAGAUUGAGGUCAUGGAAGAGGAGACCGUGUCAGUUUUUCACCCAUUUAAGUUUUUCCUCCAUUGUAGUCUGGAUAUGAAGGGGGCUUUAUGCCCAGUAGGAUGCCCAGAAAAGCAAACCAAACAUUAGGGCAUUAUUAAAAAAGGAAUAGAGACCAAUAAGGGCACCUCUUUACACCACCAUACAAGCCUCUGGUGGACCUUUAUCUGGAAUUCUGUGUGAAGCUGCAUUUCCAAAAGGAUGGAGUAGAUCUUGAAAAGCCUUAGAAUAAGGCAUUUAAGAUGACUGAAAAUCUGGCAGCUUAAAUGGACUAGGUACCCCUGGGCUGGAAAUGAUAUGAAUGCAGUGGAUAUAACAGACACCUGUGAAACUGUGAAUGGUUUGGAGAAGGAAAGAAGGGAAUGACUGAUCAUAUUCUCUUCCUGUACAGAGCUAUAGAGCAUUAAAAUAGCAACUGGCAGGUUUUAAACAGGCAAAAGAAGGUGGCUCUUCACGCACCAUACCCUUGAGCUGUGGAACACCAUUUUGAAAGAUGCAUGUGUCCAAAAAGGAACCAGACAAAUGAGAGAAAACCCAUUGAGGGUACUCAAACACAAAGAUACCACUGAUGUCUUGGGAACCACUACAGGCUGGAGCAGUCUGAAAGCAUUCUCCUGUUGCCAUGCUUUUAUUCCGUUCCUUGGGAACUCAUUUUUAAGCCACAGUUGGACAGGAUUCUGGGCUGGCUUGACUAUUGUCACAAUCCAGUACAUCCAUCCUCAGAAUCUUAUGUUCUUAUGUUACAGUGUGACAUUUCACUGAACAUUUUCAUUGAGCAGAUUAGCAGAGUAGCCUGUGGAAAUCAUUUUGCCUGUUCUGCUGUGAAUAACAUCUCACCUACUAAACUCUUACUACUUUCAGAUAGGAUUCUUCUUAGUGCCUUGUAAAAAAUCACAAUAUCAACCUCUGCCUUAUUUCUGACAGCAAUUUGGCAAAGGAUCUGCCAUGAUCAGCAUGUAUUAAGGUUCAAUGAUAACUUCAACAUUCAACAAUUUGUGCAACGUCAAUACUUGUAACAUGCUACACUAGUACUAGAGAUAAGAUACAAAUCACUUCAUUAGUUUUCAGAUCAUAGAAAUGACAUUUGUCCAGCUAGCUCAAAAAGCUUGGUUAAAUAUUUGUGCAUGAACUCACUGGACCCAAAACAUAACUCAGCAGAAAAGGAUGAAGUCAAUGAAGUUCAUCAGUCACUUGCAAUACAUAGCAAAUUGCCUGUUUAGUCUCCAAAAAGGCAAGGAAAUUAAGCUGAUAACAGCCUUCCUGUGACCUGUGCUCCACCAAAAGUAGAUCACGAUGUUCCUGCUACAAUCCAUCAUCUUUGAAUAAAGCCAAGAUGCUGAGCUCUAGACUGUGAUCAUCAUUAAGAAAGCAUAGACCCUUCCUUGUGCCAGGCAGAAAAAAGUCAGGAAAUGGGAAAAGUCUGUCCUGGUGCUAUACAUGGUAAAGGAAGGCACAGAACUGAUGGCUGCCAAAUUGCAAAGAAGAUGGCUGAGCCUAGUAGGGCUCAGGAGACUGCUGCUCCCAGCUGGCUGCAUGGGCAGUAGAGCUCCUCCUGAACCAUCUGCAGAACCACCAUGGUGUACAGCAGGUCAACUGAAAGGUCCAUGCCCCAGGAGAUAAAGAAGUGAAGAGGCAACUUUAUCAGAUGUCCCCAGCUGUCACAUCAUGAGUAAAAAGUGCAGUAAAAGUGUAAAUCAUCUUUCCCAACUCUAGAUGGUAAUUGAGGGAAUGUAGAAUAACUUUAGAAAGAAGGACAGUGUCAGAAAAUGGAAGAAAGUGAGGGAAGUGUGUUUAAAAUACUAUAAGUCAGAGAGAAGUACAGAGAGCCCUGGACAGGAUGGAGGGAGGGCACUGCCUGGGAGGACCUUUCUCUGUAGAAGUCAGUGCCUAAUUGGUGAGUAUGUGGUGGGGCUAUAGGGUACAAGGACAGAGACAGGUGACGCAGGGAGGACCAGUGGUGGCCUUGGACAUAAACCUCAAGUCAUUCCCUCUGUGAGGAACUACACCAGCUGCAUGGUGACACAGGGAAAAGGAGUAUUUGCAGAAUUGAGGGGGAGUUUCCAGGACGCCUUUUCCACUCUUCACAAUGGAAACCAUCCAUGAAAAGCUCUGGCAGCAAAUAGUGAACUGACACAGCUUGAACUUUCAUGAUCUGCGUGCCACAAGGAACAAGAACUUGCAUGACCUCACAAGCAGUACCUGGGUAGCAGAUGAACAGGGAGUGCUUUCCUGGCGGGACACAAACAUCGGUGGCUUGGAAGAGGAACUUGUCAAUGAACCAAAGACAGAGUUCACUUGAUUAAAGCAAAAUACGUUUUUACUUCAUGCUGAAGUGAGAUUUUCUAAGCUAAUCAUUGUGUUUGAGUUUCAUUUAAUGUUUGACAGUGUUUGGUUCAGAGCCCACAGGGACCAGUGUCUUCUGUGGCAGCUGUCCAGAUUUGGGUCUUGAUUCUCUUGCCCCAUCCCACAGCCAAAGCGUGUAACAAGCUCUUCCAGUCCUCCCCCAUUACUGGUUUCAUGUGUGGGACCACUGGGGGAACAAGGCCCAUGUAAAGACUCUUCUGCUGCAGCUCUCAUCCCUGCCUCCCUUAAGUGUGGAAGGUGGCUCAUCAUCUCGUCUGGAAAUGAUGGUGCCUAAUGCAUUCUCUCUCAUAAACAUGAAAGA